rnacentral:rRNA from 3 species
GGACUACAAGGGUUUCUAAUCCCGUUUGCUCCCCUGGCUUUCGCGCCUCAGCGUCAGAAGAGAUCCAGUCCGUCGCUUUCGCCACCGGCGUUCCUUCCGAUAUCAACGCAUUUCACCGCUCCACCGGAAGUUCCACAGACCCCUACCUCCCUCGAGCUCUCCAGUAUCAAAGGCACUGCGACAGUUGAGCUGCCGGAUUUCACCCCUGACUUAGAAAGCCGCCUACGCGCCCUUUAUGCCCAGUGAUUCCGAAUAACGUUUGCACGGUUCGUCUUACCGCGGCUGCUGGCAC